CACAGACAACCAGGAUGUUGGCUUAGAAGCAGCCACUCAUUCAAAGAGUGCGUAAUAGCUCACUGGUCGAGUGAUCCUGCGCCGAAGAUUUCCGGGGCUAAAACUUACUACCGAAGCUACGGCAUCAGUAAUGAUGGGUAGGGGAGCUUCCCAUAUGGGUUGAAGCAUGACCGUAAGGACAUGUGGACAGUAUGGGAGGGAGAAUGUUGGCAUGAGUAGCGAGAUGUGGGUGAGAAUCCCACAGGCCGUAAACCCAAGGUUUCCAGGGGAAGGUUCGUCCGCCCUGGGUUAGUCGGGACCUAAGCUGAGGCCGAAAGGCGUAGGUGAUGGACAACAGGUUGAUAUUCCUGUACUACCGAUAAC
rnacentral:rRNA from 1 species